rnacentral:rRNA from 1 species
CCUACGGGAGGCUGCAGUGAGGAAUAUUGGUCAAUGGGCUUACGCCUGAACCAGCCAAGUCGCGUGAGGGAAGACUGCCCUAUGGGUUGUAAACCUCUUUUGUCAGGGAGCAACGCCGGCUACGUGUAGCCGGACUGAGAGUACCCGAAGAAAAAGCAUCGGCUAACUCCGUGCCAGCAGCCGCGGUAAUACGUGGGAUGCGGGCGUUAUCGGUAUUGAUUGGGGUAAAAGGUUGCGUGGGCGGAAUGCAAAGUCAGCGGUAAAAUCGCGGGGCUCAACCCCGCCCCGCCGUUGAAACUGGCGGUCUUGAGUGUGCGAGAAGUAGGCGGAAU